rnacentral:RNase_P_RNA from 1 species
GGAUCAAUUAUCAGGGAGUUGCCUUGGAAACAAAUCCGAGGAGGAAAGUCCGAACAUCAUAGGGAGAAACCUUCUGAGAAAUUAGAAUGCGCCCGACGGGCGUAAGGCCAGUGCCACAGAAAACAGACCGUCCCUUACAAGGGAUAAGGGUGAAAAGGCGGGGUAAGAGCCCACCAUCCGUUUCCAAAAGGAACAUGCCCCGGCAUGCGCAAGGCGGAGUGAGGUAAACCCGGUUUGAUGCAAGGCCAAAUAGGGAUACAUUGGACGGUUUCCCGCCGGAAUGCCAAACGGCAUGUGUAUCCGGGUAGGUCGCUUAAACAUAACAGUAAUGUUAUGCUAAGAUUGAUAACUCCCGCCCUAGGGGCACAGAAUUCGGCUUAUAAUAAUUGAUCCGGUU